rnacentral:rRNA from 1 species
GACGAACGCUGGCGGCGUGCUUAACACAUGCAAGUCGAACGAAGAGCGAUGGAAGCUUGCUUCUAUCAAUCUUAGUGGCGAACGGGUGAGUAACGCGUAAUCAACCUGCCCUUCAGUGGGGGACAACAGUUGGAAACGACUGCUAAUACCGCAUACGAUCUAAUCUCGGCAUCGAGGAUAGAUGAAAGGUGGCCUCUAUGUAUAAGCUAUCACUGAAGGAGGGGAUUGCGUCUGAUUAGCUAGUUGGAGGGGUAACGGCCCACCAAGGCGAUGAUCAGUAGCCGGUCUGAGAGGAUGAACGGCCACAUUGGGACUGAGACACGGCCCAGACUCCUACGGGAGGCAGCAGUGGGGAAUCUUCCGCAAUGGACGAAAGUCUGACGGAGCAACGCCGCGUGAGUGAUGACGGCCUUCGGGUUGUAAAGCUCUGUUAAUUCGGGACGAAAGGC